rnacentral:rRNA from 1 species
UACAGAGGUCCCGAGCGUUGUUCGGAUUCACUGGGCGUAAAGGGUGCGUAGGUGGCGAAGUAAGUCGGAUGUGAAAGCUCGGAGCUCAACUCCGAAAUGGCAUUGGAAACUACUUGGCUAGAGGUUUGGAGGGGGGACUGGAAUGCUUGGUGUAGCAGUGAAAUGCGUAGAUAUCAAGCGGAACACCAGUGGCGAAGGCGAGUCCCUGGACAACACCUGACACUGAGGCACGAAAGCUAGGGGAGCAAACAGG